UACGUAGGGUGCGAGCGUUAAUCGGAAUUACUGGGCGUAAAGCGUGCGCAGGCGGCGGCUCAAGUCAGGUGUGAAAUCCCCCGGGCUUAACCUGGGAAUUGCGCUUGAAACUAGGCUGCUUGAGUGUGGCAGAGGGGGGUGGAAUUCCACGUGUAGCAGUGAAAUGCGUAGAGAUCUGGAGGAACACCGGUGGCGAAGGCGGCAUCCUGGACCGAAACUGACGCUGAGGAGCGAAAGCCAGGGGAGCAAACGGGAUUAAGAAACCCCGAGU
rnacentral:rRNA from 1 species